rnacentral:rRNA from 1 species
GAUGAACGCUAGCGGCAGGCCUAACACAUGCAAGUCGAGGGGUAACGUGAGUGCUUGCACUUGACGACGACCGGCGCACGGGUGCGGAACGCGUAUGGAACCUACCUUUAUCAGGGGGAUAGCCCAUGGAAACGUGGAUUAAUACCCCAUAGUAUUAUUUCAUUGCAUGAUGAUUUAAUUAAAGAAUUUCGGAUAGAGAUGGCCAUGCGUAUCAUUAGCUAGUAGGCGAGGUAACGGCUCACCUAGGCGACGAUGAUUAGGGGUCCUGAGAGGGAGAUCCCCCACACUGGUACUGAGACACGGACCAGACUCCUACGGGAGGCAGCAGUGAGGAAUAUUGGGCAAUGGAGGCAACUCUGACCCAGCCAUGCCGCGUGCAGGAAGACGGCCCUAUGGGUUGUAAACUGCUUUUAUACAGGAAGAACACCACCCACGUGUGGGUGACUGACGGUACUGUAAGAAUAAGGACCGGCUAACUCCGUG